rnacentral:miRNA from 1 species
UCAUCUCUGCCCUCACUGUAAGGGAGGGUGGUGGUGAUGGAGGACAAUGUAGGUGGGACAGGGAUGUUCAGUUGCUAAAGACAUUCUCAUUUCCCUCCCUCAGUCUCCCCAGAUGGUGA